UACUUUCGGGGCAGGGUGUAAUUCCCGACCGGCGGUGAAGAAAUAUUUUCUGAGCCCGCGAGCCUUGAAUCUGCAAUUUGGGUUCUUGGUUGAUUUGGUGAAAUUCCAAAGCCGACAGUAUAGUCUGGAUGGGAGAAGGUG
rnacentral:ncRNA from 1 species